rnacentral:rRNA from 1 species
AGAGUUUGAUCCUGGCUCAGAACGAACGCUGGCGGCGUGGAUAAGACAUGCAAGUCGAGCGAUCGUUAACGGGUAGCAAUAUUCGUUAGCGGGAGCGGCGCAAGGGUGCGUAACACGUGGGUAAUCUGCCGUGAAGUUUGGGAUAAUCCCGCGAAAGCGGGACUAAUACCGGAUGUGACCAUUGGGAGGCAUCUUCUGAUGGUUAAAGUUGGGGACCGUAAGGCCUGACGCUUCAUGAUGAACCCGCGGCCUAUCAGCUAGUCGGUGAGGUAACGGCUCACCAAGGCUAAGACGGGUAGCUGGUCUGAGAGGACGACCAGCCACACUGGAACUGAGACACGGUCCAGACACCUACGGGUGGCAGCAGUCGAGAAUUUUUCACAAUGGGCGCAAGCCUGAUGGAGCGACGCCGCGUGGGGGAUGAAUGGCUUCGGCCCGUAAACCCCUGUCAUUUGCGAUCAAACCUUAUUAUUUAAAAGAUGAUAAGUUGAUAGUAGCGAAAGAGGAAGGG